rnacentral:rRNA from 1 species
CAGCAGCCGCGGUAAUACGAAGGGUGCAAGCGUUAAUCGGAAUUACUGGGCGUAAAGCGCACGCAGGCGGUCUGUCAAGUCGGAUGUGAAAUCCCCGGGCUCAACCUGGAAACUGCAUUCGAAACUGGCAGGCUAGAGUCUUGUAGAGGGGGGUAGAAUUCCAGGUGUAGCGGUGAAAUGCGUAGAGAUCUGGAGGAAUACCGGUGGCGAAGGCGGCCCCCUGGACAAAGACUGACGCUCAGGUGCGAAAGCGUGGGGAGCAAACAGGAUUAGAUACCCGCGUAGUCCCUGUCUCUUAUAC